UGUCUGAAGGCCCUGGGUAUAUUGUACAAGAUCGCAGUAUGCAGAAGAUGCUCGUAUAUGCAGUAACGAUUAAUGUUUCACUAUUAGUGGUAAUUACAAAGUCUAUCGCAAAAGAACAAAACGAAAUAUGAACUGCAACACAUGUCACGAAUAUCUAAAUGUGAUUCUGUCACUAUGAUUCUGUAUAC